GCUGUAACUGAUUCGCGAAAGUGCUUCCUUUUACAGCGCUUUUUUGACAAGCGCUGUAAAAGCCUUAUAACGUGAUGCGCAAACGUUAUAUGACCUACUACAGCGCUUGUUUUACAGUGCUUUGCAUCAAAAGCGCUGUAAUAGGUUCCGUUAUUUUUAAAAUAUAAUUACAACAGCGCUUGUGUUUAGCAAGCGCUGUAAAAUGGGCGCUGUUAAAU
rnacentral:lncRNA from 1 species